AUGUGGCACAACACCAGCAAUACCUUGUCGGUGAUGGUCAACGGCCGGCAGACAGGCAGCAAAAAGGUUCUGGUGCUGCACACCAACAAGAACUUCGACCAGCAGAGGACCAACUGGGUGAUGCACCAGUACCACCUCGGGGACCUGGAGCAAGAGAAGGAGCGGGAGCUGGUCCUCUGCAAGAUUUUCUACCAGACGAACACUAGGGCCAGGACUAAAAAGAUUAUAAGUCGAGCAAGUUUCAACUGGGUUGUAGACUGCCCAGGCUUGGUUUUGUUUUUAAUAGGCCCAACCCAUGACGACAACGGGGCACAAAGAUCCAGCAGAGAGAGAGAGAGAGGAGAGCGGAUCUCCAUGCCUGAGCUAUGUCCUGAGACUAAUGGUGAGAAAGAGAGAGAGGUGGAAGAAAAGAGCCCCCAGUCUAGUGGUGGGGGUGGCUUAUAUAGAGUGCGCCACCCCCUCACCCCUUAUGUUACACGGUGGAGCAUCAAUGCCAUGAUGCCUGCCCACUACAAAACCGUCAUGCUGACUAUUGGUCUUUGCAUAUCCGAGUGA
rnacentral:rRNA from 1 species